ACAUGCAAGUCGAGGGGUAACGAUCUGAGUAUCGGAAGGCGACGACCGGCGCACGGGUGAGUAUCGCGUAUGCACCUACCUCUGACUGGAGCAGAGCCCGAAGAAAUCGGAUUAAUACUCCAUAAUACUGCGAGAAGGCAUCUUUUUCAGUUAAAGCUUCGGCGGCAGAGAUGGGCAUGCGUAACAUUAGCUAGUUGGUGAGGUAACUGCUCACCAAGGCUACGAUGUUUAGGGGGUCUGAGAGGAUGGUCCCCCACACUGGUACUGAGACACGGACCAGACUCCUACGGGAGGCAGCAGUGAGGAAUAUUGGUCAAUGGGCGAAAGCCUGAACCAGCCAUGCCGCGUGAAGGAUGACGGCCCUAUGGGUUGUAAACUUCUUUUAUACGGGAAGAAACCUCUCUACGUGUAGAGGGUUGACGGUACCGUACGAAUAAGCAUCGGCUAACUCCGUGCCAGCAGCCGCGGUAAUACGGAGGAUGCAAGCGUUAUCCGGAUUCAUUGGGUUUAAAGGGUGCGCAGGCGGAGAAUUAAGUCAGUGGUGAAAUCCUGCAGCUUAACUGUAGAAUUGUCAUUGAUACUGGUUUUCUUGAAUGCAGUUGAGGUAGGCGGAAUGUGUAAUGUAGCGGUGAAAUGCUUAGAUAUUACCCAGAACACCGAUUGCGAAGGCAGCUUACUAAACUGUGAUUGACGCUGAGGCACGAAAGCGUGGGGAGCGAACAGGAUUAGAUACCCUGGUAGUCCACGCUGUAAACUAUGAUCACUCGUUGUUGGCAAUACAUCGUCAGCGACUGAGCGAAAGCAUUAAGUGAUCCACCUGGGGAGUACGAUCGCAAGAUUGAAACUCAAAGGAGUUGACGGGGGCCCGCACAAGCGGAGGAACAUGUGGUUUAAUUCGAUGAUACGCGAGGAACCUUACCUGGGCUUAAAUGCAUAACGACGGACCGGGAAACUGGUCUUUCUUCGGACGGCAUGCAAGGUGCUGCAUGGCUGUCGUCAGCUCGUGCCGUGAGGUGUCGGGUUAAGUCCCAUAACGAGCGCAACCCUUAUCAUUAGUUGCCAGCGGGUAAUGCCGGGGACUCUAAUGAAACUGCCGGUGUAAACCGAGAGGAAGGUGGGGAUGACGUCAAGUCAGCACGGCCCUUAUGUCCAGGGCUACACACGUGUUACAAUGGUCAGUACAGAGGGAAGCUACCAGGCGACUGGAUGCUAAUCUCAAAAACUGGUCUCAGUUCGGAUCGGAGUCUGCAACUCGACUUCGUGAAGUUGGAUUCGCUAGUAAUCGCGCAUCACGCCAUGGCGCGGUGAAUACGUUCCC
rnacentral:rRNA from 1 species